AUGACCAUCUUCUCCUAUAUGAAGUCUUUCGUCGAGAAAAAAAUAAGAAGCAACCUUUCGGGACGAAACUCCGCCGCCACGAGGCGGAACCUUGGCGGAUCCAAUCUAGAUCUCCGGCAGAGCUGUUCUGCUGGGGAAACUUCCCUCCCGAAGGGGGAAAUCAUCGCCAUCGUUAUCACCAACGCUCCUCUCAUCAGGAGAGGGCAAUCUCCAUCAACAUCUUCAUCAGCACCAUCUCAUCUCAAAACCCUAGUUCAUAUCUUGUAUCCAAUUCUUGUCUCCAAGUCUGGGAUUGGUGCUAGUAGGUUGCUAGUAGUGUUAAUUACUCCUUGUAGUUGA
rnacentral:rRNA from 1 species